CCUACGGGUGGCAGCAGUGAGGAAUAUUGGUCAAUGGGAGGAAUCCUGAACCAGCCAUGCCGCGUGCAGGACGACGGCUCUACGAGUUGUAAACUGCUUUUGUACCGGGGUAAAAUGCUCUACGAGUAGGGUUUUGCAAGUACGGUACGAAUAAGGAUCGGCUAACUCCGUGCCAGCAGCCGCGGUAAUACGGAGGAUCCGAGCGUUAUCCGGAUUUAUUGGGUUUAAAGGGUGCGUAGGUUGUUUUAUAAGUCAGCGGUGAAAGACCGAUGCUCAACCGUGGGGUUGCCGUUGAUACUGUAGGCCUAGAGAUCGGAUGCAGCAGGCGGAAUGUGUAGUGUAGCGGUGAAAUGCAUAGAUAUUACGCAGAACACCGAUUGCGAAGGCAGCUUGCUAGGCCGGAUCUGACACUGAUGCACGAAAGCGUGGGUAUCGAACAGGAUUAGAUACCCCAGUAGUC
rnacentral:rRNA from 1 species